rnacentral:tRNA from 2 species
GGUUCCGUGGUGUAGGGGUUAACAUGCCUGCCUGUCACGCAGGAGGUCGCGGGUUCGAGUCCCGUCCAGACCGCCA